AACCGCAUGGGAUAAUCCAUCUUCCCGUGCGGUCUGGUUAAGUGGACCGUAUGGGUUAUUCGAUUAUCCCGUGCGGUC
rnacentral:pre_miRNA from 21 species